rnacentral:rRNA from 1 species
CCUGGCGGCCAUAGCGCGGGGGGCCCACCUGAACCCAUGCCGAACUCAGAAGUGAAACGCCGGAGCGCCGCUGGUAGUGUGGGGGCCCCCCAUGCGACGAGGAGGAGACGGCCAG